CCUACGGGGAGCAGCAGUGGGGAAUAUUGGACAAUGGGCGAAAGCCUGAUCCAGCCAUGCCGCGUGUGUGAAGAAGGCCUUCGGGUUGUAAAGCACUUUCAGUGGGGAAGAAAGCCUUGGGGCUAAUACCCUCGAGGAAGGACAUCACCCACAGAAGAAGCACCGGCUAACUCCGUGCCAGCAGCCGCGGUAAUACGGAGGGUGCGAGCGUUAAUCGGAAUUACUGGGCGUAAAGCGCGCGUAGGCGGUCUGAUAAGCCGGUUGUGAAAGCCCCGGGCUCAACCUGGGAACGGCAUCCGGAACUGUCAGGCUAGAGUGCAGGAGAGGAAGGUAGAAUUCCCGGUGUAGCGGUGAAAUGCGUAGAGAUCGGGAGGAAUACCAGUGGCGAAGGCGGCCUUCUGGACUGACACUGACGCUGAGGUGCGAAAGCGUGGGUAGCAAACAGGAGUAGAUACCCCAGUAGUC
rnacentral:rRNA from 1 species